GAGCAUGAGGCAAUCAAGUUCAGUGUUAGAAAGUUCUCUCUCUCUCUCUCUCUCUCUCUCUCUCUCUCUCUCUCUCUCUGUGUGUGUGUGUGUGAGAGAGAGAGAGAGAGAGAGAGAGAGAGAACUUUCUAACACUGAACUUGAUAACUUUUCUG
rnacentral:miRNA from 1 species